GGGGAAUUAGCUCAGCUGGCUAGAGCGCCUGAUUUGCAUUCAGGAGGUCACCGGUUCGACUCCGGUAUUCUCCACAA
rnacentral:tRNA from 1 species